rnacentral:tRNA from 1 species
GAGGGUAUAGCUCAGUGGUAGAGCGCAUGCUUAGCAUGCACAGGGUCCUGGGUUUAAUCCCUAGUACCUUCA